UACGUAGGGUGCAAGCGUUUAAUCGGAAUUACUGGGCGUAAAGCGUGCGCAGGCGGUGAUGUAAGACAGAUGUGAAAUCCCCGGGCUUAACCUGGGAAUGGCAUUUGGGACUGCAAGGCUGGAGUGCGGCAGAGGAGACUGGAAUUCCUGGUGUAGCAGUGAAAUGCGUAGAUAUCAGGAGGAAUACCGAUGGCGAAGGCAGGUCUCUGGGCUGACACUGACGCUCAUGCACGAAAGCGUGGGGAGCAAACAGG
rnacentral:rRNA from 1 species